GGAAGAUCCUUUUAGAUAUUAUUUACUCAUUAGACAGACCGAUAAAGAAACUAAAGCCCAGAGCAGGGCAGUAGCUGCUGGAGGGCCCAGAGCCACGUGGUAGGAGAGCUGGGAGAGAGGCCUGGGUACUGAGAGAGCUGCUGUGUUUGGGCUGCUCUACACAUCCCCGUGUUUCUGUAUUCCUCCAUGCUCACGGAGUCUUCCUCAGACUUCAGUCUCCAGAUGUGCCAUAGUUUAAUUUGGGGGUCCUCAAGUCAAAAUUUCAAGAACUGAAGAAUACGGAUCAUGAGACCUGCUGAAUAACAUCGAAGGAACUUCUGAACACGCCACCAUUUAAGCGGAGAGGGUCCCUCCCUUCCGCUGCAAUCAGGCUAUUACAGGCUCGCUCUGCCUCUUACCCGCUGGGCGCAGGCCAAGCCCAGAGCCCGGGGCUCCUACUAUGACUUGGCUGAGCAGCAAGCUAUUCAUCCACACGUCCAAGGCCACUUUUGUGCGAACAGCUUCGCAUCACCUGCCCCUGGAGACUUCGGAUCACCCCUCUGCUCCCCCGCCCUCCCCUGCUCCAGCCCCUCUCUGGCUGUGCAGGAGCCAAAGGGGAUUUGUGAUAACAGAGUCACAGGCACAGGCCCAACCCAGGCCCGAGGAGCUUGACCUGAGGCAAGAGCAUAGCCCAGAACAACACACGCCACUCCCCAGCAAGGAGGGGUGGCCCGGCACUCAAAUCGAAAACUCCUGGGCUUUUGAUGGAAGCCAUAAAACAAAGGUAGUAUUCCAGAAGGAAUCUCAGAUCCUUGUUCAUACUGGAGCCCAAGUGACCAUUAAAACAAGAGGCUGCUUCUCCAUAGGCAGUUCCGAGGAUCAAGGUUUCUGUUAAUUCUGGAUUUGGAAAAACAUACCUGGGAAGGAGGCAGGCACUCCCACUGCAUUACCUCUGAGAAAGACACAAGAUUUCUAUGGGAAUUUGAUGGAAACAAGGGGGAAUGCCCCAGGAAGCAUCCAUAGAUUCCCACAAAACAUGCAUAGAGAGUGGAUGCUCAUCGCUUCUUUUGGAGAUCCUCAACUACCAUGUUUUAUGUUUUAUUUGUAUUACUUUCUGGUGUCCAAAAUGCUGAUGUACCUGAGGACUUCGAGACACAGAGGAGAUGUGGCCAAGCGUUGGAAGGGUUUGUUCGUUUGUUUGAAUGCAAAGGGAAGAGAUAGUCAAUAGUGUCUGAGGAAGAGCAUUUCUCCGGGAACGUGUCACAACUUCAUCCUGCAGUCAAGGGGGAAAGUGCUAGACCAAACUGAAGCCCUGGUUUUAUCACUAGCCAGUUCUGAACUUAAACCUGUCCUCACUUCAGUGAGCCUCCGUCACCUUAACUGUCACCUGAGAACACCGCACAGGGUGGUGGGAGAUUGAGAGACUGGAGAAGUGCUGUCUGCACUGUGAAGUGUGGCGCCGAGAAGAGGAUUCAGUCAGGCUGCUUCCUCAGGCUCCUCUGUGAUCAGCACUCAGAUUAAAUCCUGACCUGCAGGGACAUGCAGAGGCCAUCACCUCACCUUGUGCAGCAAUUGCUACUUGCUGAUAAUGCAACAGUCCCGUGCCUCCGGGAAAAAGAGGAAUCUUGAGGAAGGCUCUAAGACUUCUAAGGCUUGAAAUGAGCAUGUAGAAACUGCCAGGCUAAUGAGGCCAUGGGCCAUUCCUCCGGGGUGCCCACGAGAGAUGCUUUUAUCUACCACAGAUCCUCUCUCUCCCGUCCUCCACAUGUGCACACUUAGCCCCCGCUUUGAGCUGCAAUGCAAGGACCAGCCCCUCUCAAGGCCUUCCCUGACUGUGUUCUGUUCUCGUCUCUAGGCCACAGGAUUCUCGUCCAUCUGAUUCCAGUAGCAUCUACCACUCGUUCUGCUCAUCUGUUACUAAAGUUAAAUUAAAUAGUUUAUGGAGUACUCACUAUGUGGAAGGCUUUAUGCUGAUCAUAAUCCUAUAGUGCCUUGAUUAAUUUUUCCAGAUUGUUCAUCUCUAUUCGCAGAUCCACCAAACCAGACGAUGCUGCUGGCGGAAAAAUGUGCACGCUCUGGUGUUCGUGCAAGAAUGAGAAGACCUCUGUGGCGCAGUGGCAGGAGCCCCAGUGCAUGGUUGUAUAUCCUAGUUGUAAGUUCUGGUUCUUCUAUGUGAGCUGCCGCCACAACAUGGCAACUGUCAGAUGCGUAGUGCAGUUCUGAGACCAGGAAGGGAACCCGGGCCACUGAAGAGGUUAUAAAAAUAACACAGACUCACUGUAUACAACUUGUAAAAUACAGAAGUGUAUAAAGAAGGAAAUAAAACUACCAUUAACCCGUGCUCCAGAGGUCUUAGAAUGUCCAUCAGGAGGGAACGCUUUGAACCAGGCAUCACGCUCUGGGCGGGAUUCCAAGUCAGCCCUGAAAACAGUCAGAGCUACCCCGGGUCCCCUCCUGGCUGCGCAGAAUGGCUGAAAGAGUGGGUUCUCCCUUCUGCCCGGCCCCCCACCCCGGCUCGGUUCCCCACGUCGUCUGAAGAGCCCGCUCUGAGCCCAGACAGCGACGAGACAAGGCGCUUUUCUUACGGCAGGACAUCCUCUCCUCACCCAGACCUCCAAGGAUUUCUCAUCAGAGAGACAAAGUGUCUUUAUUUUAAAGGCUCCAUGUAGCAGGGCCAGAAGUUUCUUGUGUUAUUAAGAAGGGGGUGGGGGAGGGGAAAGGGCCGAUGAGGCUACUUACUUAAUAGCUCCUAACAGCUGUGGAAAGUUUGAUGCAGCAGGAGCACCCGGACAGAAAAUUAAAAAACUAAUAAAGUCCUCAGUGUGGGGGCGCUGGCAUCAGGACAGCUUUACUUCUCCAGACACCUAAUAAAGAGACAUUCCGGGACACUCACUCAUAAGGGGAGUCUGCAGGGGUCACCGGGAACAGUGGAAAGUGAGCCAUGGAAACCUAGCAGUCACUCACAGCGCCGUGGGGAAGUUUCGUUUGCUUCUCCUCUUCCCCGCCCCCCCCCCACCUCCGCUUUUCGCCGUUUUGGAAGAAUGGCAGGGUGCUCAGGACCCAAAGAAGGAAAAGGAGGACUGAAAAAAGAGAAAAAGAGGAGGGGGGCGAUUCCAGGAGCCUCAAUGUAGAAAUCAUGCACUUUCAUGGAGGGAACGAGCGUGAAGCUGAGGUUGGCAGUUUAGACAUAGCAGGACGGGAGGUGAUGGUCACCAUGCAGGGGCACGUUGAGAUCCCGAGGCGGCUGGCUUCUGGAGGUAGCAGAGAAAGGCGGUUUAGAGAAAUGAGGUUUAUUCAGCUGGAUUUUAUGAAGCACCCUCCUCACGAAAGGUUUUCUCGUGUGGGUUUUUCCACUGUCGUUACGAGGUCAUUUUGGAUCUGAGCUCCUUGGGGUCUGCUAGGUUCUGGGUUGCUGGGUUGGGACUUUUGCUUUAAAGGACAUUUAUGUUGUUUUGUCUUGGUCCUCAAGUUGGGCUUUGUGUAUUUGAAGAAAAAAUAUGAUGACUUGGGACAACCAAACCAUCAGCCAGUUGUGGAGGCAUCCACUGAGCUGGUGGGGCCAGUCUUCUCACACACACAACGUGCCAGCACCAAAGGUAGACUGCAGUGGCCUGCUAACAAAAGGAGAGUACAGUGGAAUGAGUCAGCCAGAGCAAGACAAAUACUGUGGGAUCUCACUCACAUGUGAAAUCUAAAAGAAUCGAACUCAUAGAAACAAAACAGAUAGGUGUUUGCCAGAGGCGGGUGGAAGGGGUGUGUGGGUAUGUG
rnacentral:lncRNA from 1 species